ensembl:snoRNA
UGCUGACCGGCCUCCGCCUGCCUCCGCCCAGGGCUCUCGGGAACCAGGGGAGACGCUGCCCCGGAAGCUGAAGCA